GGAAAGGCGCAAAGCUACACAGAGAAACCCUGUCUCGAAAAACAAAAACAAAAACAAAAACAAAAAAUUAAAUUUUUAAAAACCUAAAAAAAUUUUUUUAAGGGCUGGAAAUGUAGCUCAGCAGCAGAAGACCUGACUAGAAUCUCUCAGUGAGUGGCUGGGGCAUAGGGCAUGGUAGAGCCCCUGCCUAGAAUCCCCCAGUGAAGGGCUGGGGUGUGGUUCAGUGGUAGAGCCCCUGCCUAGAAUCCCCCAGUGAGGGCUGGGGUGUGGCUCAGUGGUAGAGCCCCUGCCUAGAAUCCCCGAGUCAGGGACUGGGGUGUGGCUCAGUGGUAGAGCCCCUGCCUAGAAUCCCCCAGUGAGGGGCUGGGGUGUGGCUCAGUGGUAGAGCUUUCACCAAUAUUCAGGAUGAUCUGAUUUUAGUCCCCAUUUGCGGGGAGAAAAAAAAGUCAGUAAGCAGAAGAUGAUGAAGAAAAGAUUGGUACCCCUUCUUUUCCCUCCAUGACACUCCCUAGGGGAAGCCUGGGAACAUGUUUCUAGCAAGAGCUCUGGUCAAGAUGCUGCUGACCCAGGGAGUCCCUCUGUGGCAACCACAAGAUGGGGUGCUCCGAGUUACCGCCUUCAGCUCCGGCCCAGUGGUUCUUCAGUCACCUCAGGUGCUCCGCGGUUGAUGUUUCCCCUGACUCAGGCCUCUGUCCCCUCCUCUCCCUCCCGUAUGGCAUCAGCUGUCAUGGUUGGGUUCCCACAGCUGGUAACUGGAGCUCUGAACCCGGCUUUCCGCUAAGAGUCGCCCCACCCUCCACCUGUUGGGGGCACCUGAUUGAUGUUCCCCAACCGCUGCUGCUCCUUAUUUGGCGGCCUUCGGAACUGUCUCCAGCUUUCUUAUAUAAGUAGAUGUCUUUCUUCCCAACUCCUGGGAAGCUGCGCUACCUCAUCGUUCCUGGAACACCAACUGUCAUACCCCAGUCCUUAUUCCAGCCCCAGGGGAACUGCUAAUGCGAACUGUCUUAAAUAAAGAGCCAAUUAAACCUCCUCCAAGAAGUAACUCGGCCUCCCUGGCUGGGACCCGAAGAGCUAUGUCUGUAAAUUAGUGCAAUCAGUUCCCAGAGAGGCCAGAAGAGGGCGACGGACCCCUAGGACUGGAGAUAACAAGUGGUUGUGAGCCGCCCUGUAGGUCACAGGAACUGAGCACCAGAACUCUCAGCUACUGGACCGCUCACAAUGCCUGCAAGACGUCGGACUCUCAGCUACUUCUCCAGGACCGUGUCUGCCUGCAUGCUGCCGCCAUGCUCCCUGCUGUGAUGAUAAUGGACUGGACCUCUGAAACUGCAAGCUAGCUGAAGGGACCAGGGUCAGUUGUUUUUUCCAGGGGCCAGUUUGCUAAGACCUUGAGAGGACCAAGCAGACGCCAUAACAGGCUGCUCAGUCUUCUCUCAGAGAUCAGGCCUCAAGUUCAGUUUCCUGAGACUGAGCAAGCAGCUUCUGAGAGGGCCAUGAACAAAAGACAAUCACUGAUGCCCCCUGUCAGCAGGGACAGGAGGAUAGGACGCACCAAGCCUGGGCUGCUAAGGCAGCCCCCACAGUCAGUAUGUGCUAGGCCUGCCAGCCUCCACAGCAGUUCAAGGACAAAGACUGGGACUUGUCCAGGCCUGUCCAAAAAAAGAUAACUGUAACCCCCAACUAACCGUAGCCAAUUAAAAAUUACUAAUAUGAUUGCUACUCACAUAAACCAAUCCUAAGUCUGUUCCUAUGUGAUCUGUACCCCAAGACCUCCCUUGCUUUACCCCCUAUAAAAACCCUGCUCCAUUGCCACUUGGGGGUCUCUCCUGCUCUGCUGCUGCAGCAGACAGACAGACAGACAGAGAGUCACGAGUUAACUCACAAUAAAAAGACUCUUUGCUUUUGCAUCA